rnacentral:rRNA from 1 species
GACGAACGCUGGCGGCGUGCUUAACACAUGCAAGUCGAACGCUGAAGACCUGGCUUUUGUUGGGUUGGAUGAGUGGCGAACGGGUGAGUAACACGUGAGUAACCUGCCCUCUUCUUUGGGAUAACUCCCGGAAACGGGUGCUAAUACUGGAUAUUCACUGAUCUUCGCAUGGGGGUUGGUGGAAAGGUUUGUUCUGGUGGGUGAUGGGCUCGCGGCCUAUCAGCUUGUUGGUGGGGUGAUGGCCUACCAAGGCUUUGACGGGUAGCCGGCCUGAGAGGGUGACCGGUCACAUUGGGACUGAGAUACGGCCCAGACUGCUACGGGAGGCAGCAGUGGGGAAUAUUGCACAAUGGGCGAAAGCCUGAUGCAGCGACGCCGCGUGAGGGAUGGAGGCCUUCGGGUUGUAAACCUCUUUCGCUAAUGGUCAAGCCGCAACUGUGGGUUGUGGUGAGGGUAGUGGGUAAAGAAGCGCCGGCUAACUACGUG